rnacentral:rRNA from 1 species
GUAGGGAAUAUUGGACAAUGGGGGCAACCCUGAUCCAGCCAUGCCGCGUGAGUGAAGAAGGCCCUCGGGUUGUAAAGCUCUUUUGUCCGGAAAGAAAAGCUUCGGGUUAAUACCCCGGGGUUCUGACGGUACCGGAAGAAUAAGCACCGGCUAACUUCGUGCCAGCAGCCGCGGUAAUACGAAGGGUGCAAGCGUUACUCGGAAUUACUGGGCGUAAAGCGUGCGUAGGUGGUUGUUUAAGUCUGAUGUGAAAGCCCUGGGCUCAACCUGGGAAUGGCAUUGGAAACUGGGCAGCUAGAGUGCGGUAGAGGGUAGUGGAAUUCCCGGUGUAGCAGUGAAAUGCGUAGAGAUCGGGAGGAACAUCUGUGGCGAAGGCGACUGCCUGGACCAGCACUGACACUGAGGCACGAAAGCGUGGGGAGCAAACA